AGUCGANCGGUAGAGGGGGGCAACCUCCUUGAGAGUGGCGAACGGGUGAGUAAUGCAUCGGAACGUGCCCAGUCGUGGGGGAUAGCCCGGGGAAACCCGGAUUAAUACCGCAUACGACCUGAGGGUGAAAGCGGGGGACCGAAAGGCCUCGCGCGAUUGGAGCGGCCGAUGUCGGAUUAGGUAGUUGGUGGGGUAAAGGCCUACCAAGCCUGCGAUCCGUAGCUGGUCUGAGAGGACGACCAGCCACGCUGGGACUGAGACACGGCCCAGACUCCUACGGGAGGCAGCAGUGGGGAAUUUUGGACAAUGGGCGCAAGCCUGAUCCAGCCAUGCCGCGUGCGGGAAGAAGGCCUUCGGGUUGUAAACCGCUUUUGUCAGGGAAGAAAAGGUGGGGGCUAAUACCUCCUGCUGAUGACGGUACCUGAAGAAUAAGCACCGGCUAACUACGUGCCAGCAGCCGCGGUAAUACGUAGGGUGCGAGCGUUAAUCGGAAUUACUGGGCGUAAAGCGUGCGCAGGCGGCUUUGCAAGACAGGUGUGAAAUCCCCGGGCUUAACCUGGGAACUGCACUUGUGACUGCAUGGCUAGAGUACGGCAGAGGGGGAUGGAAUUCCGCGUGUANCAGUGAAAUGCGUAGAUAUGCGGANGAACACCGAUGGCGAAGGCAAUCCCCUGGGCCUGUACUGACGCUCAUGCACGAAAGCGUGGGGAGCAAACAGGAUUANAUACCCUGGUAGUCCACGCCCUANACGAUGUCAACUGGUUGUUGGGAGGGUUUCUUCNCAGNA
rnacentral:rRNA from 1 species